rnacentral:rRNA from 1 species
GACGAACGCUGGCGGCGUGCUUAACACAUGCAAGUCGAACGGAAAGGCCCAGCUUGCUGGGUGCUCGAGUGGCGAACGGGUGAGUAACACGUGGGUGAUCUGCCCCUAACUUCGGGAUAAGCUUGGGAAACUGGGUCUAAUACCGGAUAGGACAAUCGUUUAGUGUCGGUUGUGGAAAGUUUUUUCGGUUAGGGAUGAGCCCGCGGCCUAUCAGCUUGUUGGUGGGGUAAUGGCCUACCAAGGCGUCGACGGGUAGCCGGCCUGAGAGGGUGGACGGCCACAUUGGGACUGAGAUACGGCCCAGACUCCUACGGGAGGCAGCAGUGGGGAAUAUUGCACAAUGGGCGCAAGCCUGAUGCAGCGACGCCGCGUGGGGGAUUACGGCCUUCGGGUUGUAAACCUCUUUCGACAGGGACGAAGCUUUGGUGACGGUACCUGUAUAAGAAGCACCGGCUAACUACGUG